CUCCAGUUUGCUGCUGCUGCUGGCACUACCCCUGAUCUGCCUGCUUGGCUGACAUCAGCAGUAGUGGUAUCAGCCAAUCACAAUGCUUUCUCAUAGGAAAUGGGAAAGCAUUGAAUCAAUGCAUAUCUAUGAGGAAAGUUCAUGCAGCACUGCCCCAGGAAGCACCUCUAGUAUAAGCUGUAGGUGUUCUGGUGACUAUAGUGUCCCUUCAAUAGUUCAGACAAA